UCUUUUAAUUGAAGGCUGGUAUGAAUGGUUGGAUGAAAUAUUAACUGUUUCAUUAAAAAUUUUUAUAGAAUUUUAUUUUUUAGUUAAAAAGCUAAAAUUAUAUUAAAAGACGAGAAGACCCUAUAAAUCUUUAUAUUUUAUUUUUAUUAAUUAUUUAGAUAUUUUCAAUUAUUAUUAAUUAAAAUAUUUUAUUGGGGUGAUAUUAAAAUUUAAUAAACUUUUAAUUUUUAAAUACAUAAAUUUAUGAUUAUUUGAUCCAUUAUUAAUGAUUAAAAAUUUAAGUUACUUUAGGGAUAACAGCGUAAUUUUUUUGGAGAGUUCAUAUCGAUAAAAAAGAUUGC
rnacentral:rRNA from 1 species